rnacentral:rRNA from 1 species
UACGUAGGGUGCAAGCGUUGCCCGGAUUUAUUGGGCGUAAAGGGCGCGCAGGCGGCCGAGCACGUCCGUUGUGAAAUCGCCUGGCUCAACUGGGCGGGGUCAGCGGAUACGGCUAGGCUGGAGCAAGCUAGGGGGCAAUGGAAUUCCCGGUGUAGUGGUGGAAUGCGUAGAUAUUGGGAGGAACACCAGUGGCGAAGGCGGUUGCCUGGAGCUUUGCUGACGCUGAGGCGCGAAAGCGUGGGGAGCGAUCCGG